UCGCCUCUUGAUUUAUGAUAAGAGGUCCAGCCUGCCCAGUGAAUUUUCAACGGCCGCGGUAUUCUGACCACGCGAAGGUAGCAUAAUCACUUGUUCUUUAAAUGGGGACUUGUAUCAACGGCAUCACGAGGGUUUUACUGUCUCCUCUUUCUAAUCAGUGAAAUUGAUCUUCCCGUGAAGAAGCGGGAAUUACUAUAUAAGACGAGAAGACCCCAUGGAGCUUCAAACCAAAUAGCAAUUUAACCAUAUAUCUCCUAAUAACUUUAAAUUAUGCCAUAAGGUUUUGGGUUGGGGUGACCGCGGAGUAAAACAUAUCCUCCACGACGGAAAGACCACAAUCUUUAUUUAAGAGCGACAGCUCCAAAAAUUAGCACACUAACGUUUACUGACCCGAUAUUCGAUCAACGGAACAAGUUACCCUGGGGAUAACAGCGCAAUCUACUUUGAGAGCUCAUAUCGACAAGUAGGCUUACGACCUCGAUGUUGGAUCAGGGUAUCCUAGUGGUGCAGCCGCUACUGAGGGUUCGUUUGUUCAACGAUUAAAACCCUACGU
rnacentral:rRNA from 1 species